GCCACUGCACAGCUGCUGUGGAGGUGGCCAGAGCCCUUGGGAAAUCGGGGUUAUCCCUCUCCAUGGCCAAGGAAUUAUUGGACCCAUUGAGGGCAGCCUUGUACUGGAACAGGACAAAGUCCUAGGGGUGGCUUUGUGCUCCAGUGAAGAGAGAAAAAGAUAUUAUUCAUCUUGAGCCAAGGAGCAGCUGAAGGACUUGCAGCUGAGGCAGUGGCUGCAGCAGCAGGAGCUGUGCCUGGAGCUGGGAAUGCUGGGGGGGAAAACCAGCAAAACCCACCGUGGCCUCCCCCAAAGUGGCAAUUUCCUCUUGCAGGAGCAUUUCAGCAACCAGACCUUGUGUCAAGGAGUUCCAGCAGUGACCAACACAAAACAGACACAGAGCACAGGGAGCAGGGCCAGCAAGGGUGGAGCAGGAUGGCAGCUCCUUGGGUUGCUCCUAAUCCUGGACAAAAACUGUUUGGAGUCAUAACUGUGUUAAAAACCCCACGUUUUAAUGACUUGCAAAACUUGGCCUGUGCGAAUUCCUGCACCUCUCCAGUGUGGUGGUCGGGGCAACCACAAGUGAAAAAACCUGUCCUCAACCCACAUAUUUCCAUUUAGUUUUGUUUCCCUUGAGAUUCAGGCCCUCUUGGCCCGUAUCUCAUAAUAAAAGCCUCAGUUUUGCCCUCCCUGUGCCCCCCCUGCCCAGCACAGCUGAAGGACCCCAGGGAUCAGAGCAGACUCGGCUGUAAUUGGGAUUCUCAUGAAGACAGACAAAGCUGGGGGCUCAAAACUGCCCUUGCACCUUCUUCUAGGAUUUUUUUUUGCCUCAAAAUCUACCCAUUUGGAGACAUCAGAUGUUUCUGCAGAAGCUGAGGACGAGGAGAAGGCCAUGGUCCCUUCCAACCCAAACUGUUCUAUGUUGCACCCUUGCAACCCCCUUUAGCUAUUCAGUUGCACCAGAAAAUGAUUUUUUCUUCAUUUUCAAGUGAAGAUUCAAGGUUUUAUUUUGUAAGAUGGGCUUUUUCUGAUGUAUUUGUCCCAUUCCCCCUGUGCUUUGCUUGGCAGAGGAGCCAGAGCUGCCUGGGCUUGCAGCCUCCAC